AUACCACUCCCUCCCUUCCAUAAUUUUUGUCUCAAAUUUGCCUAAAAAUGGAUGUAUCUAUUCUUAAAAAACGUUUAGAUACAUGUAAUAUUUCGACAAAAAUUAUGGAAGGGAGGGAGUAUAAU
rnacentral:pre_miRNA from 1 species